CGCUUCUUUUUCCACCGGAGCUUGCUCCACCGGAAAAAGAGGAGUGGCGAACGGGUGAGUAACACGUGGGUAACCUGCCCAUCAGAAGGGGAUAACACUUGGAAACAGGUGCUAAUACCGUAUAACAAUCGAAACCGCAUGGUUUUGAUUUGAAAGGCGCUUUCGGGUGUCGCUGAUGGAUGGACCCGCGGUGCAUUAGCUAGUUGGUGAGGUAACGGCUCACCAAGGCCACGAUGCAUAGCCGACCUGAGAGGGUGAUCGGCCACAUUGGGACUGAGACACGGCCCAAACUCCUACGGGAGGCAGCAGUAGGGAAUCUUCGGCAAUGGACGAAAGUCUGGCCGAGCAACGCCGCGUGAGUGAAGAAGGUUUUCGGAUCGUAAAACUCUGUUGUUAGAGAAGAACAAGGAUGAGAGUAACUGUUCAUCCCUUGACGGUAUCUAACCAGAAAGCCACGGCUAACUACGUGCCAGCAGCCGCGGUAAUACGUAGGUGGCAAGCGUUGUCCGGAUUUAUUGGGCGUAAAGCGAGCGCAGGCGGUUUCUUAAGUCUGAUGUGAAAGCCCCCGGCUCAACCGGGGAGGGUCAUUGGAAACUGGGAGACUUGAGUGCAGAAGAGGAGAGUGGAAUUCCAUGUGUAGCGGUGAAAUGCGUAGAUAUAUGGAGGAACACCAGUGGCGAAGGCGGCUCUCUGGUCUGUAACUGACGCUGAGGCUCGAAAGCGUGGGGAGCAAACAGG
rnacentral:rRNA from 1 species